UAGUGAUGAAAUCUAAACUGAAAUAGCUGGAAUUACCGGCAGAUUGUUCAGUGUGACUCUCGGGUUUCUGAAC
rnacentral:snoRNA from 1 species